AGAAUCAACGCUGGCGGCGUGCCUAACACAUGCAAGUCGAACGAAAAAGUGGGAGCAAUCCCACGAGUAAAGUGGCGCACGGGUGAGUAACACGUGACUAACCUACCCUUGAGUGGGGGAUAACCUAGGGAAACCUGGGCUAAUACCGCAUAAUACCUACGGGUCAAAGGAGCAAUUCGCUUUAGGAGGGGGUCGCGGCAGAUUAGUUAGUUGGCGGGGUAAUGGCCCACCAAGACAGUGAUCUGUAU
rnacentral:rRNA from 1 species